AACGAACGCUGGCGGCAUGCUUAACGCAUGCAAGUCGAACGCGUGUCUGGCUUCGGCCUGGCACGAGUGGCGCACGGGUGAGUAGCGCGUGGGAACCUGCCCUCUUGUGGGGGAUAACCGAGGGAAACCUCGGCUAAUACCGCAUAAGCCGGCUGUCCUGAGAGGGAUGGCCGGGAAAGAUUUAUCGCGAGAGGAGGGGCCCGCGUCGGAUUAGCUUGUUGGUGGGGUAACGGCCACCAAGGCGAUGAUCCGUAGCUGGUCUGAGAGGAUGAUCAGCCACACUGGGACUGAGACACGGCCCAGACUCCUACGGGAGGCAGCAGUGGGGAAUAUUGGACAAUGGGCGCAAGCCUGAUCCAGCAAUGCCGCGUGAGUGAGGAAGGCCUUAGGGUUGUAAAGCUCUUUCACCCGCGACGAUGAUGACGGUAGCGGGAGAAGAAGCCCGGCUAACUUCGUGCCAGCCGCCGCAGUAAG
rnacentral:rRNA from 1 species